rnacentral:rRNA from 1 species
AGACGUCUACAUUAGAUACCCCCGUAGUCCAGGGUGUAAACGCUGCAGACUUGGUGUUGGGAACCCUUCGGGGGGUGUCCAGUGCCGGAGAGAAGUUGUUAAGUCUGCUACUUGGGGAGUACGUCCGCAAGGAUGAAACUUAAAGGAAUUGGCGGGGGAGCACCGCAACGGGAGGAGCGUGCGGUUUAAUUGGAUUCAACACCGGAAACUCACCAGUGAAGACUGUUACAUGAAAGCCAGGCUGAUGACCUUGCUAGAUUUUCAG